GCGUGGUUUCAACAGAAGUUCAAGCUGUUCAACUUUGAAUUGUUAAAGAUGUUCGCGAUGCCCCAAAAUAAUUCUUGUGGCGGCGCUAAAAUCAGCCAUCAGGGGUUGCAAGAUUGAGAAAAUUC